rnacentral:lncRNA from 1 species
GCAGCGGGCCGCGGGCUGGCUAGGCUGUGCAUGGGAGCCUGCAGAUUGUCAGAGAUGCUCAACCCACUUCAGGUUUCUUGUGGUUUCCAUUGCCCCGAGGGUGGGAACUCUCUGUUUCUAAUUUUGAGAGUACGUUUCUUCCCUAGACCAUGGGCUUUGAAUCAGAGAUAGCAAAUCCAUGUUCAAGUGGUGACUCCAACAGUACUUAGCCUUCUGACCUCUUUAGCCAUCAGUUCCCUCCGGUGUAAAAUGGGAAUAUUCAUGUGAUCUAUUUCAAAACAUUAGUAUAAUUCAAUAAGCAUGACUUCGGGCACGCUAUUCACGUGCUGACUACUCUUGGGCAUGGCUGUGUUGUGAACUUUCAUGAAAAAAGAGGCUUGGCCGUGUGUGCUAACACAUGCCUGCAAUCCCAGAGCUCUGGAGGCAGGAGGACAGCAAGUUGGAGGAGAGCCUGGAGUAUAUGGUGCCUUUCUCUGCAGCUCAUCCACCCUGUCCUAUAAAUGGAUCUCUCACACCAUUCCUGCUCCUCCAUCGAGUCACCCCACUGAAGGGUACCAAACUUCGUAAUGGGUCCUGUUUAACUUCUCAGAAGACAUUGUCAGAAUUCGAUGGAACCUGAAGCCUCACUAAUCAUAGCAUCAAGAUGCUCAUCAGCUGGACUUUUUCUCCAGCAAGGAAGCAUAUGAUGAAACUUUUCUCUGUUGAUGAAGCCAUCUUUGUUCCGAUCCGUCAUGUUAAAAGCACUUGAACUCCCCAGUCUGUGACUAGUCACGCCUGGCAGACACCUUGGAUGCUGGGCCCUCGGGGCUUUUCUUUGCCCUCAGGCUCUUCUUGGUAGUCAUUAAGUCCCACCAAACCCUCACAGCUACAGCAUAGCUUCCAUUCGGCAAGCCUUUAACCCUUAAAAUCCCUCCUAGUCCUCCUACCCCUGCCCUCUGAGCCAAUCUCCCUGACCCUUUAGUCCCACCCAAAAAGUCCUCAGUAACUCCAC